AUUGAACGCUGGCGGAAUGCUUUACACAUGCAAGUCGAGCGGCAGCGCGGGGCAACCUGGCGGCGAGCGGCGAACGGGUGAGUAACAUAUCGGAACGUGCCUAGUAGUGGGGGAUAACACAGCGAAAGUUGUGCUAAUACCGCAUACGACCUGAGGGUGAAAGGGGGGGAUCGCAAGACCUCUCGCUAUUAGAGCGGCCGAUAUCGGAUUAGCUAGUUGGUGAGGUAAAGGCUCACCAAGGCGACGAUCCGUAGCUGGUCUGAGAGGACGACCAGCCACACUGGAACUGAGACACGGUCCAGACUCCUACGGGAGGCAGCAGUGGGGAAUUUUGGACAAUGGGGGCAACCCUGAUCCAGCCAUUCCGCGUGAGUGAAGAAGGCCUCGGUUGUAAGACGUCUUUCGGUCGAGGAACGAAACGGUACGUCUUCUAAUACGAGAGGCGUAAUGACGGUACCUGAAGAAGAAGACACCGGCGUAACUACGUAGCCAGCAGCCGCGGU
rnacentral:rRNA from 1 species